UACGGGGGGGCAAGCGUUGUUCGGAAUUACUGGGCGUAAAGGGCUCGUAGGUGGCCAACUAAGUCGGACGUGAAAUCCCUCGGCUCAACCGGGGAACUGCGUCCGAUACUGGCGGGCUUGAAUUCGGGAGAGGGAUGUGGAAUUCCAGGUGUAGCGGUGAAAUGCGUAGAUAUCUGGAGGAACACCGGUGGCGAAGGCGGCAUCCUGGACCGACAUGACGCUGAGGCG
rnacentral:rRNA from 1 species